rnacentral:tRNA from 1 species
GUAUGGCUCAGUGGUAGAGUACUUGCUUAGCAUGCAGGAGAUCCUGGGUUCACACCUCAGCAC